rnacentral:lncRNA from 1 species
ACUACAGUCAGUGCAGGAGCGCGUUUAUCUAGGUCAAUUACUCACAGGGGACCCUGAUCAUGAGAAGAAAAUUUACCGAAUAAUAAAAAUGGGUUGAGUCGCAUGCAGCAGACAU